AUGGCGUCUUCAAUCAUCAACGACACGGUCCAGGACAAGACUCUUCUCCCCGGACAGAUCUUUGUGUUCAGCGGCUUCGCACCGCGGGCCAAUUCGCUUUGCCAGUUGGAGCAGAUCGACAGCUUCGCCCCUGGCCGCCAGAUCCAGUUCGGAAACUUGAACUACACGGUAGAUGUCCGUAGAGAUUUGAUCUUCGACGGAUUCGGGCCUGUGCUAGGAGCGCCAGACAGCCGCGACGAGCAUGGCCUAGACCUGCUGUCGGACAGUGCCCAGGACAUUCUCCCCGAGGCAGCCCCGGAUCUAAAUCCAGGGCAGGUUACGUUGCCUACGGACGGUGGGCUGGACCCCGCCCCGCAGGCCGCACACUUAUCGGCGGUGGAGCCGAACACAGGUCUCACCUCUUUGGAGGCCUGUAACCUUGGGCCCCCGGACUCAUAUCCGGUUGUUGGUCUUGGUCCGCUCACUCUCGAGCCAGUCGAGCCAGGCUGGGCUCCAGUAAUGGAGUUUACCGCUGCGGACAUCUUUCAGCACUCGCCCUUUGGCGACAUGCUAAACUCAUUGAAGUCUCUCUCUUUGUUAGGAGGCUCUGGGCCGAACUAUGUCCGGCCCAAGUGGGAAGCAGGCGACGAAGGAAUUCGGCGCCCACCCACCACCCACUUCAUUGCCAGGAUCGAGGAUUUUAUCCUGCAUAUUCACAUGGCUCGUGGGGAUGACCUCUACGCCAUCAAAUACCUUGCCCUCAAGUUGAAGGGACCAGCUCAACACUGGUUGAAAAGCCUCCUCGAAAACUCAAUUGGGAGUUGGGAGGAACUCGAAGACGCUUUCAGGGCCAAUUUUCAAGGGACUUAUGUCCGGCCUCCGGAUGCAGACGAUCUAAGUCAAAUAAUCCAACAACUUGGAGAGGCUGCCCGCAAGCUUUGGAACAAAUUCCUCACUAAGAAGAAUCAAAUUGUCAACUUUACGGACGCUGAAGCCUUAGCGGCUUUCAAACACAGCAUCCAUGACGAAUGGCUCGCCCGACACCUCGGCCAAGAAAAGCGAAGGACAAUGGCAGCCUUAACAAGCCUUAUGACCCGCUUUUGCGCGGGUGAGGAUAGCUGGUUGGCCCGUAAAGGCACCAGCGACCCCAGCACAUCCGAACUAAGGGAUAGCAACGGGAAGCCAUGGCGUAAUAAAAACAAACGCCAAAACAAGGAAGAGAGCCCGGACAACACGACGGUCAACGCCGGAUUCAGGGGCUCUCGACCUGAUUAG
rnacentral:rRNA from 1 species